CGGGGGACUAAGGGAGAACAAUCAGAGAGAGAAUUACUAAGUAGGAAUCUCCAUUAACUUAAUAGUGUUGCUUACAAAGGAAGCUUAUUUAAGCGGCAAUAUCAGAACACUUGUUUAUUAGUUGAACACCAAGUAGCUCUACUAGAGCCACUCAUGAGUAGCAAACAAGAGAAAAGGAACUUUAAAAAUCAUCUGAGGAAGCUUUGCUGGACCAGGCAAAUAGCUCAUAGACAAAACCAUUCUCCAUGGAUAUAGAUUUCACACUGCUGUCCCAUGAUACUUCCUUGCAGCCUCCCUACUGUCAAUGGUGGUCUUGUAAUUCUCAUCCGUUGUAUAAGGUCUUGAUGCAAAAUUGAACUUACCAUAUCUCUUUGAAGCUUCCCUGCUGUCAAUGGUUUCAGUGAAGCCUGGCUCAGUAUACCGGGAGUUAGGAGCAGUAUGGACAGAAGGCUUGGCAGCUUCUUUCAGAAUUCCAAUGGCUGCAUUGAUAUCACUUGUAGGUUCGGAGAGUUUGGACUCAGGUGGUGAGGUCCAUGUUGUAGGACUUGGCCUGACCCACCCGCCGCUGGUGAUCAUGGGAGGCUCAACUGGGGUAGCUUCCUUUCUGUCAAUGGUUUCUGUAUAGGCUGGUUCUGUAUACCUGAAACGGGGAGCAGUAGUGGUAGAAGGUUUGGCAGAUUCCUUGAAGAAUCCUGUGGCAGGGUUGACAUCGCUUGUUGGCUUGGAGAAGGUGGAAUUGGGAGUUGUACCCCAUGUUGAAUGACUAGGCCUAGGCCAUCCACCGGUGGUGACCUUUGCUGGUUCCACGGCGCCACCCUGCUUGUUGAAGUAAUCAUCAUAGCUGUCACUUCGGUAUGCAUUACCACUGGGCUUCUGCCAUUCCUUGUUGCCGUAAUCAUUGAACUCGCUAUUAUAGCCACCGUUAUUACCGGGAAAGCCUGUGGGUUUAAGGGUCUGACGCCAAUUUGCUGGAUUCACAGUGCCAAACCUGGGUCUGCUGGCCUCAAUUUGCACUUUGGUGAUGAAAUCAUCGACCUUUGAUGGGCGAUCCUGAGAUGGACUUGAAGAACUGUGCCACCUUUCUUCAACAACUCCACAACCCUCCAGUGGACUGCAAGAAUUAUGAUGGUGUUCUGAGGCAAAGGGUGAAAUAACGUGUUCUUGAACGAUUGUUUCAGUUCUUGUAACAAAGAAAUCUGAGUUCUGAGCUGGACCAAAAGAAACAAUUGGCCUUUUCCUUCCUUCAGCAUCGACGAUGACUGGCCGGCAGACAUGAUCAGAGGCAUAGCUUGUUUUGCUCCAAUCAUCAGCUCGUGGUGAAUUGUAGGCAGAAGAACUUCUGUGCGGAUAAUUAUACCCAGCCAUCACUUAGCCUUCCUUCUCUAAAGCCCUCUACUAGUAUAGCACUUCCUUUUCUUGCUUAUGAAAGAUUUUAACAAUUUGCUCAUAUAUAUAUAGGAAAAUUGUGUUCUCCUACCAUCAAAUGAAGGUGAUGGAAC
rnacentral:misc_RNA from 1 species